rnacentral:rRNA from 1 species
AUUGAACGCUGGCGGCAGGACUAACACAUGCAAGUCGAGCGGAGCGGCGGACGGGGGAGUAAUGCCUAGGAAUCUGCAUGGUAGUGGGGGAUAACGUCCGGAAACGGGCGCUAAUACCGCAUACUAUCAGAUGAGACUAGGUCGGAUUAGCUGGUUGGUGGGGUAAAGGCCUACCAAGGCGACGAUCCGUAAAUGGUCUGAGAGGAUGAUCAGUCACACUGUAACUGAGACACGGUCCAGACUCCUACGUGAGGCAGCAGUGGGGAAUAUUGGUCAAUGGGCGAAAGCCUGAUCCAGCCAUGCCGCGUGUGUUAAGUAGGUCUUCGGAUUGUAAAGCACUUUAAGUUGUGAGGCGUUACCAACAGAAUAAGCACCGGCUAACUUCGUGCCAGCCGCCGCGGUAAUUC